rnacentral:rRNA from 1 species
UACGGGGGGAGCAAGCGUUGUUCGGAUUUACUGGGCGUAAAGGGCGCGUAGGCGGCCAGCACAAGUCAGUUGUGAAAUCUCCGGGCUUAACUCGGAAAGGUCAACUGAUACUGUGCGGCUAGAGUGCAGAAGGGGCAACUGGAAUUCUCGGUGUAGCGGUGAAAUGCGUAGAUAUCGUAAGGAAGACCAGUGGCGAAGGCGGGUCUCUGGACAGUUCCUGACGCUGAGGCACGAAGGUCAGGGGAGCAAACAGG